UUGCUUCUACCCCUUCCCCUACACCUAAGGGUGAUCCAGAAAAUGACAAUGUGAAGAGUAUAAAAGUUUUAUGGCUCUCUUACUGCUCGUGCUCCUUCAAUUUUUUUUUAUAUCUUCACUAUAGAUGAAUUUUGGUUCUCAGAAUAUUAUGGAUAAUUAUAGGCGAUUUGUUUUUAACAUUAAGAAAUAAGGCAACAUUCUACUUGUUUUUCUUAAAUCUUCAGGAUUGAUG
rnacentral:misc_RNA from 1 species